rnacentral:lncRNA from 1 species
CUCAGGAAGGAAGCCGCUCAAAUCGUACACAUAGCUGACCUCGAACGCUUUCGAGCCGGCGGUGACGUGGACGUCGAUCAUCUUCGUGGCGGCGGCGUAGUUGAUCCUUGCCGUCACCUGCUGCCCGAUUAUGGAGCCGUCGACCUCCGUCGUGUUGCCGGAUGACCUAGAGCCGAUGUCGAUGCCGAUGUGGGGAUAGUUCGGAUCCCACGCGCCGUUGACGUAGGUGUCGAACUCGACGGCGAAGACCGAGGGGCUGCUGCCGGAGGAGCCGAAGAUUCCGAGGUUGGAUCCGCUAGAGGAGGAAGGGAUGGUGGACCCGACGGGGGCGAUGAAGAAGGCGAGGCCGUCGGCGGCAGAGUUGCCGGGGCCAGGUGUGAUGAUGAAGUUUACGGUGGUUUCAAAGUCGACUUGGCCGCCGGUUUGUGAGAACUGGACCGGGUUCGAGUACAAUACCCGGCCAACUUUGGCGGUCUGUGCGUCGGUGAGGCGGAGGAAGGUGGAGUCCGACGGGAAAUGGGCGUCGCCUUGGUAGGUGAGGUCGGUCGGCUGGUCGCCCCAGAAGUCGUAGGUGAAGGACGUCGAUUGGGACUGCGCCACGUUGGCGGCGGCGAGGAGUAGGGCGACGGAGGAGAGGAGAGGAAUUAGGGUUUGGAGAAGCUUGGCCAUUGCUUAAUUGAUUUGGAUGUGGUGGAUGAUGGUGAUAUGUCUUAAGCUUGCACUCCUAUAUAUACUAGUGUAGUUCAUGCAUGAUAAUGUUGUUUAAUCAUCAUAUAUUUUAUUUCAUUAAAAUGAAUCACCUCGUCCAUUCGAGGUAAAUGAACCAUGUGAUCUUAUGUACUACCAGCCACAUUUUAAUUUGCUCGUUGGAAUAUUAUCUAUAGUUGUAUCUAUUGUAUUUGUAUAAAUGAUUUUUGGAAGGGAACUUAGAAAAAGUUCUUGAUAGGGGCUGUAUUUUUUAAUUUCAAGUGCAAAAUUAAGUUUUGAUAGACAAUUUACUUAUGAUUCAAUUUAACGAUCGGGUUUUCUGAAAAAAAAAAAUUCACACAAAAAAUCGAUUAUUUAAUAAUUUUAUAAGAAAAAAGAAGAAGAAGAAAUUUUCUAUUUAGGAUAUACACGAGCAGAUGAGAUCCUCUGUCCCACUAUUUUGUGUGUACCACCAUGUACCAUUCUUAAUUUAUUUAUUUUAGUAAUUAUUUUUUAUAAAAAUAAAAAUUAUUAUUAUAUUUUUUAUUUUCAUUUAAGUGAGUUACUAGAUUUAUUUGGGGUGAGCACAGGUUAUUUUGGAAAAGGAGAAUAUCUGUAAGAUGAUGUGAAAAUUAUUCAAUAUAAGCACAUAUAGGGGUUGAGUUCUCAAAGGAACUUAAUUAAUAUCCAAUGUGAUUGAUACAUUUCGACUAAAUGGAUGGACUGUGACGCCCCGACCAAAAGUAAAGAGUGAUUGUGAUCGGUGCACAAGGCAUGGAUGAAAAGCGGUUCCUAGUAAUGCUUCGAUACGGAGGAUACAUGAAUGAAUCGAAACACACCAGAAAGAGAGGGAUUCCAUGAGUACGUACGCAGGUAUAUGACUGCAUAUUCGAGGAGCUUAAAUAAUUUUAUUGGUGUUACUCAUAUCAACAAGAUGCAUCUUCUUUUUUGGUGACCAUAUGAAAUAAACUCCAAGGUUAAGCGUGCUUGGCGUAGAGCAACUUGAUGAUUGGUGACCUCCCUAAGAAGUUUAUCAGAAAGCGUGCUAGUAAGAACAAAACAUGCUAGAAAAGACUCAUAUUAGUCUGUGGGGACAGCCGUUAAAUUUGGAUUCGGGUCUUUACAAGUGGCAUUAGAGAUUAACCUCUCACAGUAUGGUGCGGUUCGGGAACGAACCAAGCGGAAGUUGGUACUCAAUAUUCCAUCUAUUGUGAGUUUCUUUGUCUUCUUCAUCUUUCUUUUACUCUGCUGUCGAGUUUCAGAGAGUAAUCAGAUAGGUUUUCAUUCGAGUUGAGUUUCUUGAGUGAUAAACUGUUAAUUGUGAGUUUCAUUCGAUCAUUUGUUGAUUAUAAAUAUCUGCACAUGGAUAUUGGUCAAUUUAGAUACACUGAUCUUCAAAUUGAUUGACGAAUCUUUAGAAUUCAAAAUUUAAAUCAAAUACGCGUGUUCAUAGUUAAUUGGUAAGUACACUUUUUUUUNAUAUAAAUAUAAUUGACUCGAGAUCUCUGCUACUUACGCAUACUUCGCUCGAGACAAAAAUAAAUAAUUGAUCAUUGAGAACUCCGCUACCACACCAUACUCGUGUACUAUUUAUCAUUGUUUAUGAUUAUUAAUAAAGACGUGUCUUUGCCUGAUAAAUUUAAUUUUCAUACUCUUGAUUCUUUUUUGGCCAUAUCAUUUUUUAAAAAAUUGGGAGGGGAAUGGUGGAAAUUGAAUAUGAAAAAUACCAGUCAAAUGAUACAUGUGCACUUUCAAAGACAAAACAUAAAUGUAACCUUCGUUUGUAAAACAUAGAAAUUCUACCAUAUAUUUGUGAUUAUUUUACCUUUAUACGAUCUAUUUAUAUAUAUUUAUUAGAAUUAAUAAAAAUAUACUACAUUCGUCCACGAAAAAGAAUCUCAUUGUGUGCUGGAUGUGAGUCGUAUCGAGAGUGAGAGGGAACACAUUGUCUCCGGUCUCUGCCGUCUUGGCGAGAUCUUCGGCAUUGGCCUGAUCCGGCCGCUGAGGUGGCCGGUAGGUCAUCCAUGGAGUAUGGCUAUAUUCAUACUCGUAUCCCAUUUUGGUUGUAGAACAAGAAGGCGGUGUUGUUGAAAUCGUCGUCGUUGAUAUCCUUUGGAAAACCGGCUGGGAUAGUUUUCGCCAUUAGAGUGAUGUGCGUAGAAGAGAGGAUCUUCCGGCGGUCUUCGCGGAAACCGUUGUCGCGUGUCCAUAGUUCAUGGAUUGAAAAUAUGCAGGUAAAGCACCCGGCGUACUCGGCCAUACAAUUAACUCGCCAUCAUGAGCUAUAAUUCUAUUCGAGUAAGUUCAAUCUCUAAUGAAUUAAUAUAUUUUUAUAAAUAUAUAAUUUGCAAAAUAACCUUAAAAUAAAAUAUGUAAUAAGGGUAAAAUAGGCAAUCCACAUGUUGUGCUCAAUGCUCUUUUUAUAUUACUAGGAGAAAGAUAAUUAAUGUUAUUUUAUCUAAUAAAAUAAAAAAUAUAAAUAUAAUAUUUAUUAUAUUUAAAUUUUUAAUUAACAAUUUUGUUUAUUUAAUUCUCUUAUCUCUUACAAUAUUUUUUUUUAGAAAAUCUAUUAGUUCAUUACUUCGACUAAAUAUAAUUUAUUGGAUAGAUAUAUUUAUUUAUAAGCCUUAUCAAUAGCUAUAGAUAUAUAUUACAUAGAUUUAAUGUAAUAUUUAAUGAAUCAAUAGCUCUUUUCUUUUAUAUUAGUAUAGAUUAUAUAGAUAGAUAUAUAUAGUGCAUGCAUGAUAAUGUUGAUUGAUCAUCGUAACUAUAUAAUUUAUUGCACUAAUAAUGAAUCACGUUCCCACUCGAGGUAUAUAAAAUGAAUCAUGUGACCUUUUCUACUACCCGACACAUUUUGCUCCUUGGAAUAUUAUUUAUAAUUGUGUCUAUUGUAUAGUGCAUGCAUGAUAAUGUUGUUUAAUCAUCAUAAAUCUUCAUGGCUCAUCCACCUCAUCCAAUCGAAGCAUAUAAUGAACCAUGUGAUCAUAUCUACUACCUGACACAUUUUGCUUCUUGGAAUGCUAGCUAUAAUUGUAUCUAUUGUGUGAAUGUAAGCAAAAGGGCGCGCACAAUUUUUUAUUUUUUUUUGGAUAGGUGACUCGCUCAAAAUACCUAUUGAAUUGACUCGUAAUCGCACGAGGUCAUUCUAGCGUAGUAAGCUAACCCAUGUCGUAUCUCACAAGGAAGAUUAAGCAGGACGACUAAUUUUGGAUUAUUUUUAAUCAAAUGUUGGAUAUUUUUUAAUUAGAGUAAAAUUAAAAUAAGUAAAUUAUUGUAUAUUUUCAGAUUCGGAAACUAAUGGCUUUAUUUUAAUUUAAUCAUUUUCAUAUGUCAGUUAUAUUAUGUAAAUGACGUUUUUAGUAACAAACAAAUGACAUUUUAAUCAAUAAAUGAUACUUUUAUCAAUAAUAAAUGAAACCAUAUUAAGGUAAAUAGGGUAAAGGUUAGACUUAACUGUGAAAGCAUCAUGAGUUUUAUGUGUAACAUUUUCGGUGUGAAAAUUGAUGAGUUAAAAAAAAUGCUCCAUAUUGAAUUCGACAUUAGAUGAAUCUACAGUAGAUUUUCAUGCAUGAUCUAAGAGCUGAAAAUGAUUCACGGUCUAUAUUUAUUCUAUCAAAUUCCAUAUCACUUUAAAUCUCAAAUUACAUUUGCACUAUAUAUGAUUAUAUCCUAAAUUAUCAUAAAUAUGAACCGCUUAAAUCUGGCGUCGUUGCACCGCGGACAUCUUGCCGCUGCUUUCUCCCACCAUUGCCCUUGCUGCCCUCAUCUUAGGUGCCAAUUUUUUGCUCGUCGUGCAGAAUUUGAAAGGGGUAAAUUAUUUUUUCAAUUUUUUAUUGCAUUUUGCUGUCUAAGUUGAUUUCUCAAGUAAAGUGGACUUGGGUUUUGUUUCGAUUAUAGCUGAAUUCGAUGGCGCUGUGUGGUUAGAUCUGUAAUUUUGACGUGUUGUUGAAGUGUGCGGGAUUGAAUGUGAUCUGGGAGAAUUUAAGGGUUUUGGGACGUUAGUAUGAUGAUGGUGGGAUUUGAAUGAAUUUGAAUACCAGAUUAUGGUUGAUGUUUAAUUAUGUGAAUCUUGCGAUCUGUGUUGAAAUUAAUGUACAGUAUCUUCGCCUAGCCGGGGGUUCACCAUUUGGUUCCCGACCGUCCUGCUGCCUUCACUCCACACUCAAGUGCCAAUAUCUUCUUCUCGUUUCUCUUCCUUCUUCUUCUCCUCUUAGUACCUGCAAGACAGAAGGAAAAACCAGCAAGUAUAAAGAAAAAUCAGAAAACUUAAAGAAGUAAAGAAAGAAAGAAAACAAAGGAAACUCGAGGUGGGAAAAAGGUGUCCUCGGGACACAGGUGGCUCAGAUUUUUCCCACAGUGGCAACACACUCCGGCAGCUCAAAGACCACGGCACAAAGGGGAAGGGAAGUCAGAUCGGAGCUCAAAUCUGACGAGCACAGCCACCAAUAAUCAGGAAUCCGGUGGACAGGAUUCCGGCGGCUCAGAAAUCCUUCGCUUUAUCACCAAACAGGAAAUCUAAGGUCAGCAAUCCGACAAUAAUGCUAUCAACAGGAGGAAGCUCUCACUUUACGGCCACAACACCGGAAACCAGAACGGAAACCAGAGAACAGAAGGAAUAGCAGAGCCUUCAAGGUUGUGAACAUACUACAGAACUUCCCCCAAUCGAUUGCUUUAUAACCGAGACAGAGAAGGGUCGGGAAGAUGUAGUGGGCUUUGGGAAGGAGGAGGAAGCCAUUAAUGGUGGUGGAGCUCGAGGGAAAGCGAGAUCAGCAGUCGUGAAGACUUAGGGUUUGGGAGGGGAUUUGAGGUGGAGCGGCGGAGGUUGAAAUGAGGGAAAGGCCGAGUGAGAGAGGGAGUAUUUCAGUGGAUAAUGGGCUAGGGUAUUUUUGAGUUAACGGGCUAUAGGUGUCUGGGCCCAAAAGUUGGGCCAGAGAAGGGAUAAAGAGCAUUGGGCCAACAUUCCACAAUUAAGACAAUUAAGAGUAGAAAUUCUUCUUGAUUUGCUAAUUUAUUUAGGAUUAGCGAUAUUAGUUUGGAGUUUUAGAUGUCGAUUGAUUUCGUGAUCUUGAUUUAUGUGAUAAAUGCCUCUCAUCACUAAGAUUUGGAAUAUAUUGGAUAUCUAGGAUAGUGAUAUUAGUUUGGAGUUUUAGAUGUUGAUGUGUCUUUUUAGGCUGCGUUUACUUUGAUGGAUAAAUUUAUAUAUGGAAAAGGAUGGAUAACACAAAUUUAUGCUUUUAAAUGUCUCCUUCCUCUUCCAACAUUUGACACAAAAAGAGAUGCUCGCUAUUUUUUCUUCCUUAUCUUCACUUCAAGGAUGGAUAAUAUUAUCCCUCCAUUUUGGUGUGAUAAUAUUAUCCAUCAUUGAAGUGAAGAUAAGGAAGGAAAAAUAGUAGAGCAUCUCUUUUUGUGUCAAAUGUUGGAAAAGGAAAGAGACAUUUAAAGGCAUGAAUUUGUGUUAUUCAUCAUUUUCCAUAGAUAAAUUUAUCCAUCAAAGUAUACGAAGCCUUAUGUGAUAAAUGCUUUUUUAGGGGGGCCCACGGGCAUGCUGCCCCAUAUGCUAUGGAGUAUGGACCAUGGUGGCUCGGUCACUGCGCUCUCGAUUGCGAAUUAUUUUGCAUUAUCUUUGUUUGUUUUUCUUAUAUUGGGAAAGAAAACAUAGAGUAAUAUAUAUUUUAGAAGUCCAGUUACCAAUGUCGUCAAUCUCGAGUGAAAAUAAAUAUUACCAUAACACAAAAAUGACAAAGCUAUUGAUUAGUGACGAUAUGUUAGAAGUUCAGAUAAACAACACAUUUAUUCUUGUGUAUAUUAUAUUAACGUUUAUUAUAUAUUAUAAAAAGAACAUAUUCUUUCAAAAUUAUCUUGUCUAUUUUUAGAAGUUCAGAUAAACAACACAUUUUCAGAAGAAAUUUAAUAAUCUCUUACGAUUUACAUAUAAUUUUUAAAUAAUUAAUUAUCUCAGUGGUGAUAAAAUAAAAAAACGAAGUAAUUUAUUAUAUACAAAAUAUUAUGAUUUAUGUUUGUAUAUUAUUUGUUUCCAUUAGUGCAUUAUCAUUUCUAAGUAUCUUCUCACUUGUUCACUGAUUCACUAUUGGAUUAACAUGAAUAUACGAAUUUCAUAGUAUACCAACCGUUCGAUAAAAGUCCUCAAAGAAAUCUUCCAUAGAUAACCUUGCAAAAGUACGUGUAUCUAUAUUAAUAGAAUAAGAGCCUAAGGAAUCUUAAAACACAAUUUUUGGAUUGCCUAUUUUACCACUAUUAUAUAUUAUUUUAAAAUUAUUUUACAUAUUAUAUAUUAAUAGGAAUAUAUUAAUUCAUUAGAUAUUACACUAAAUCUAUGUGAUAUAUUUCUAUAGCUAUUGAUAAGGCUUAUAAAUAAAUAUAUAUCCAUCUAAUAAAUUAUCUAAUAAAAGUAAUGAAUUAAUAGAUUUUUUAAAAUAAUAAAUUAUCAAAUAAAAUAACAUUAAUUACACACGUACGUUCUUUCUGCUAGCUAGUUAAAUAAAAAGAAGAAGAAACUGAGACUGAAAAAGGGAGAAUUAAGAUAGUCCAUUAUUAUCGUCUUAUUUUUAGAACUUAAACGAGAGAAAAGUCCAUCGCUAGUCCUAAUUUACAACACAACACAACACAUGAUAAUAAAUUUAAAUCACACAUAUUGCCGGAUGUACCCUUCCUCCUCUUUGCCGGCGGCGGCAUGCACGAGGGUGGACGUGAAAUACCACGAGACGAUGUCGUGCACGGCGUCUUGGCCUCCGGUGGCCGCGGAGAUCCCGACCUGAACCUGCUGAGGAAGAAUGGCGCUCAGGUCGUACACAUAGCUCACCUCGUAUGUUUGCGAGCCGGCGGCGAGGCUCACGCUGAUCAGCUUAGUGGCUUCCAGGUAGUUGAUGCGCGCAGUCACCUGCUGCCCGAGCAACGCGUUGCCGACGUUGGUCACGUUUUUGGAAACAUUAGAUUCGAUGUCGAUCCCGAUAUGGCGAUAGCUAGGAUCCACUCCGGGGUUGGAGAAGACGUCGAAUUCCACGGCGAAGACGGCGGGGCCGACGCCGGAGGAGUUGAAGAUUCCGAAGCAGCCGCCGGUGAAGCCGAGGGGUAAGCCGACGGGGGCGAUGAAGAAGGUCACGCCGUCGGCGGGGUUCGUGUCGCCUGCGUUGGGGGUUACGGCGAACGUCAGGGUGGUCUCGAAGUCGACCUGCGCGCCGGCCUCCCAGAACGUGAUCGGGGCUGAGUACACGGCCCGGCCGACGCUGUACUGGACCGCGCUGCCGGAGCUGGUGGUGUUGGUCAUGCGGAGGAAGGUGGAGUCCGACGGGAAGUGGGCGUCGCCUUGGUAGAGGAGAUCGGUCGGCUGGUCGCCCCAGAAGUCGUACGUGAAGGCUGUCGAUUGGGACUGCAUGCGCCGUGUUGGCGGCGGUGGCGAGGAGGAGGGCGAUGGAGAUUAGGGUUUGGAGAAGCUUGGCCAUGGCUUAAUUGAGUUAGUAGUAUUUGCUUUGGAUGUGGUGUGAUGAUGGUGUAUUGGUGUUAACUCUUGCUCCUAUUUAUGCUAGUAUAGUGCUUGAAUGAAAAUGUUAUUUAAAUUAACAUCAUAUUUUUUAUUACACAAAAAUGACUCACCCCAUCUUCUCGAGAUUAACUGAACUUGUGAUCUCUAAUAAUUUAUAACCUACCACAUUGUAGUUGUUGGAGUAUACUCCCUCUGUCCCGGUUUUAGCACGAGUUUUAAUAAAUUGGUUGAUUGUAUUAUGAGUAGAAUAAGGAUAAUAUUUUUUAUGGAAGUGUUAAAAUAAUUAAAAUUGAGAAAAUGUUUCACCUAUUUUUAUUAAAAAUAGAAAUGAAUUUUAAAAUAUGGGACGACGGCCAGAAAAAGAAAAUAUAUAUGGAUACUAAAAGUUGGGACGGAGUGAGUAUUAUCUAUAGUGGUAUCUAUUGUAUGAGUACAAGAGAUUUACUUGACUUGUUGAGGUAUGGAGAGAUUAUUACAAACCACGUGAAAUUGAGUUCUUGCUCCCACUGUAAAAGCAAUAAAUAUAGGGAAAAGAAAAUUAAUACUUCCUUCGUCCAAGAAAUGAGUACACAUAUUUCUUUUUUAGUCCGUUCAUGAAAUGAGUACUCAUUAAUUUUUCUUUUUAUCAAGUGUACCUCACACAACCCUUUAAUUAAUUAAUACCUUUAAAAAGUGGGUCCCUUAUUCCACUAACACCACACUCAAUCAUUUCUUAAAACCUGUAACGUCCCCAAAUGAGAUUCAUUUCGUGGAUUGAGUAAAUUCUAUACUACAAAUUAAUGGUUCGAAUUCACUUUAAAAAAUAAACUACAAUUAAGAGUCCCUCUCUUAAUUGGAAUUCAUAGACCAUCUGCUUCAGUCGUGCCCGAAGACAGAAAAGGUUUGGAUUGGAAUUCAUAGGUGGCUAGGGAAUAAAAGCAGUGUGGCCUCAAUCAUUGAAGCACACUUCGAUUUGUUCACAAAUCUUGACAAAGGAAAGGAAGGUCGAUUUUUCUAGCGACAGUAUGGGUCUAUACCAUUUGGUUGCUGUGGAAAUGACGUAACGAGAGCAGAUUUGAGGGCAAGACUUGGGAGAUCAAUGACGUGAUCGAAGAAGUGAAAGUGAGGAUGUGGAGUUGGAACAAGAUUUUUGGACUACAUGUUAAAGAGAUUAGCUCUCAAUCUUGGUUUUCUUGUGAAACUCCUCUUGUUUUGUGUAAUUUGGUCGUAUCUCUGGUACCAAACUCUCUCCUAAUAAAAUUUCUUUUCUGAUUAAAAAAAAAAAAAAGAGUCCCUCUCUUAAUCAAGUAGACUGGAUGCGGUAAGAGAGAAAUCACUUCCAACUUAUCGAUUUUACUAGCAACAACUAGAUUUAUACUGAAGCUAAAUUGGAUCAGACUCUAGGAUUCACUAGUCUUUUACUCAAGGUGAGUCGGUUUACGAGUCUCAAACUCAAGGUGAACUAGAAUGUCUGUCAAUACGAACGUUGGGAGUUCGAGGGUUUUUUAGGACAGUAACUUAGAUUGAUUUGGAAAUUAGGACAAUAACUUUCGGACUUGUAAAAAUAGGACUCUAAUUCUUUUUAAGAGUAAAAUAGGACACUAAUUAAUAAGUGUUACAUCCGCAGGACAUUUUUCGGCCAAUUAUCGGCCGAGAAAUGUCCUACUUUUACGACGCUUAUUAAUUAGUGUCCUAUUUUUACAAAUUCGAAAGUUUUGUCUUAAUUUUCAAAUCAACAUAAGUUAUUGUCCUAAAAAAUCCCCUGACUCCGAACGUUGGAACAAGCUCGGCAAUAUACUGCUAUUCAACAUUAAUGGCACUUUGCACUAAAUGAAUUGGUGUCGAAUUAAUACAUCGUCUUGCUGCUCAUAUCUAUAUAAUAAAUGCAUACCUGCACCUCGAUAUUAAUCAAUUUAGAUACACUAAAUCUCGGAUAUACUUAACAAAUGGAUUAAUAAAUGUAUAAAUUUUAGAUUUCAGAAAAUCAAAUACAGGUGUUCAUAAGGAAAUGAUUAAAAACCCGUGUGUCAUUUAGAUAAGAUUAUUAUAGUACAGUUAACGAUGGUGAAAUAUUCUUUUACAUUAGAUAUAAUAGCAUUCCAGAUCUCAAUGGCAUUUUUUGUUAUAACAAAAAAAAAUUGUAUAUGUUCCAUACUAUCCUCAAACUUCAAAUUAUUAUUUUUCUUUAUUUUAAAAUUUGUAUUGGCACAUAUCUGUCAAUUAAUCAAAUUCAUAUCAAAACAAUAAUUCGAAUGAUAUAUUAGUUGGCUAGCUAUAAAUUACAAAUUAUUAGUGAUUAGGCAUGUUUUACACAAAUUAUUAGCCCAAACAACAUUUGAUUGUGUGCAAUGCACACACUUACUAAAAGCAGAUGUGAUCAUCUGUCCCACAAUUUAGUGUGUAUCACCGUGUACCAUUCUUAAUUUGUCUAUUUUAUAAUUAUUUGUUGUAAAAAUAAAAAAAAUAUUGUUAUAUUAUGAACUCUAAUUAAAAUUUAUAACUAAAAAUAAAAAUUAAAAAAAAUUAUAUACCCUAACUUUGAAUUAAUUAACCCAAAUAAUCAAUUAUUAAUUCAAAUAAAUAUAAAAAAUAAUUAUAAACUCUAAUUGAAUGAGUGAACCCUUAUUAAUUAGUUUCUUAUUAUAUUAUAAUAAAUUAAAAUUGAAGAAAAUAUAAUUAUAUAUUAUAAUAAAUUAAGAGUGGUACACGGUGGUACACACUAAAUUGUGGGACAGAUCCAUGUGCACUAAAUUAUAGGUACGGAGGUGCGGAUGCGGGGGCGAUACGAUACGAGUACGGGGAUACGGGUUCUAAAAAAUUAUAGGGUGCGAUUCGGCAAGGAUACAUCUAAUUAUUAAAAUUUUAUGAUAUACUAAUUGUUAGAAAUGGAUAUUGGGCCAAUUCCUCCCUUAAAAGGCCUUAUAAGGGAGAGGGUUACCUCACCAUAUAAAGUGGCUCAUGCCACUAUCUCCAAUCCAAUGUGGGACACUUCAAUACUAAUGCUUAUAAAAUAUAUACAAUUUAAAUUUUCUUAAAUUAAUUAUAUGUAAUUUACAUUUUAUUUUACCCAAAAGUUAAGCAUUUUCAAUUAUAUAAGUUAAUUGAGCAACAAUAUAACGAUUCAAAUAUUAUUAGUCCAAUAUAUAAGUCAUAACUGAAAAUAAAAUUAUCAAAAUAACCUUGUGUAGGCCUUUCGUGCACGAGAUACGUGAAUUUCGCCUAUGGAAUUUGCAAAUCCGGUUUAUUUUUAUAAAUUGUUUUAAAAGAUACGCACUGGUGAAUCGGUGCGAAUCCGACAAGAAUUCGAGAAAUCACACCCUAAAAGAAUCCGAUUCGCCGUACAUCUAAUUUUUGAAGAAUCCGUGCAUCAUAGGUGAGAAGAAACACAAGAGAGUAAAAUGGUACAUAAUGUAGAAAGACUUUUCUCCAAAAUAAAUGUUACAGUCUUCUAAUAGUCGAAAGGCGCAUGAAAAUGCGCAGUUAUUCGAAAGAAAGGAAAGGCUUAUUCAGCCACACAAUGACAUGGAAUUCGAAUUGAAAUUGAAAUUCAGACAAAUCCCAAACACGGUGAUGCAGAGAUCAAGCGGUAACACGAGGAAUGAUCUUAAUACCACCGAUGGUAACUUCGUCGCCGUUAAUGUGGGGAACGAUGGUGACGACAAUGAAAUCAUCAUCAGCAAUAUUGAUGUUCUCAUAGAGCUCCCUCAAGUUCAAGCGAAGGUCGUUGGCGCUUUCCGCAGCCCUAACCCUAUGCGGAAUCUGCGUGAAACUGCCGGCGAACUCGGCCCUGGCGAGGUCCUCUGGCUUGUCGUCUUCGUCAUUCACGAACACAUCGAACCUCACGAGCUUCGAACUAUCGGUGAUUAUGUUCUCCAGCACGAGCACUUCGUCGGCUUUGCCUUUGGUUGGUUUGGGCACCAAAACCCUGUGAGUCUUGUUGAGAGUGAGAGGGAACAGAUUGUCUCCACUCUCUGCCCUCUUGGAGAGAUCUUCGAUAUUCACCGGCACCUCCCUCCGCGGUGGCCGGUAGGCUGUCCACGGAGUUUCGCUGUGUUCAUACACGUAUCCCAUUUUGGUGUGGUCCAAGCAGUCGGCCACCUUGACGCGCACGAGGUUCUUCUUCUCGUCGUAGAACAUGAACGCCGCGUUGUUGAAAUCGUCGGGGUUGGGGACGACGAGGUCGUUGAUAUCCUUGGGGAAAACGGAUGGGAUAGUUUUCCAUAUGGUCCACAUUCUGUCGACGUUAGCGUGAUGUGCGUAGAAGAGAGGGUCUCUUCCGGCGGAGUAGAAGUUCCCCAUGUCUUCGCGGAAAUCGUUGGCGGGGUUUCCGGUCCAGACGUGGACGCCGCCGUGUGAGCCGCCCUCCGACAAUCCUCCCUUGGCGCGUGGCGGGGGCAAGUCCCCGGAAACGUAAGGAUCGCCCAUGAAGUCGAUGGCGGAUUCGACAUCACCAAUCAUUUCCUUGUACAUCUGAGUGAGAUUGUUUUCGAUGAUCGUUACAGGAUCGGUGAUCGGGGGGGUGGUUAUGGCAAGAGCAACGAGGGCCGGGGGGCGAUGCGUUGGGUCGCGGUUGACGUCGUAGAGCGGGGAUUCUUCCCUGUCGAACGGCCUGGGCAUCUGCAUACCCCUAGGGUUGUCCCAGUUCCAGUAGGGCAGGGCGAAAUCGGGAUCUCCGAUGAGUUCGCCCAUGAUCCUCUCGAAGAAAUAGAGGUACCACCUGUGGAAGGGGUGGAUCCAGAAUUUGUCAUUAGGAGGGACUAAAUUUGUUGAAGCAUGACGUCUCAAAUUAUUAGCCAAUUUUUUUUAGCAUUCCAUACAGUUCAUUUUUUUGUCGAACUACAUUCGAUUAAUUCAACAACAAGAACAUUGAAAGCAUAUAAAUACUUACCUCUCAAAAAUUGUUUCAUCUUCUAAGAAGAUAAGCUAAUUUUCAUCAUGGCAGUUCAUAAUUUUAAUUUAACUUGAGGAUUGACUCAAAUUCAACACUGAGAAUCAACUAAGAAAGGAAAGUAGACAAAAAUAACAUAAAUUUAACAAACUAACAUAUCAAAUUUAAAUCACUAUAAAAUAUUAAACAGUUAAAACGUGGAUACUAUAAUUAAUAAAACAAUGUAUUUUAUUAUCUCUUGUAUUUCUUAUCUAUACUAAUAGAAAAAGAGUCUAAGACAGUCUAAGGCACAACUUGUGGAUUGCCUAUUUUACCCUUAUUAUAUAUUUAUUAUUAUAUUUACAAAAUAUAAAUCUAUUUUGAUAAAUAUUUAUUUGUCACUCAAAUCUAUAAAGAAUACUUUAUAUCUAUAGCUAUUGAUAAGGCUUAUAAAUAAAUAUAUUCAUCCACAACGUACGUUCUUUCUGCUAGUAUAUAAUAAAAACAAAAACAAAAAACUCAAAAUUUGGGAGGCGGUCGAUCCGCUGCUAACCUGUGGAAAGGGAAGAAGAUCCAUGAGUUGUGAACCUGGAUAUCGAUGCCGGGGUGGUCCACCUGGUCGUAGGGGCCGUUGCAGUAAGCGCAGUGGAUGUUGGCCUGCUGAGUGAAGCCACGGGGAUCGUCGGGGUCCGUCACGUCCAGUUCCUUCAUCUUCUGGAUGGCCAACUCAUACUUGCGUACGUAUUCCGGUGUCAGCCUGUGCGCCGCCGGCCUAACGCGAGGUUUAGUGAACCUCGGAAGCUUGUAGUCGCUCUGAACGUCGGUGUAGGGCGGGCAGCAGUUGACGUCUAGAGAUAUUACCUCUUGGUUUCGAGUGGUGUAGGCACCUUCGGGGUCGCAGGUGCUCAGGUCAGGAGGCAAAAUCGGAAGCGCCUCAGCUUUGCGGAUGGCGCUGCCUGCGCCGUAUAGACCGCCCAGCCCAAGCAGCAUGUUUCUGCGGUCUAUACGGCCGCUGCCACCGCCACCGCUGCUGCAUGACACCUGAAAGCGGCCGUGGCUCCGCCGGCUGCUGAGCUGGGAGGGCUUGCGAAAUGGGGAGUUGGUGGCGGCGGCGAUCGCCGUGAAUGAAGAUUGAAGGGAAGCCAUGUUUGAGUGAUUGAUUGAUGGUCGUUGUGAUUACCUGGGGAGGCAUGUCUUUAUAUAGCAGAUGUGACACGAGUUUUAAGAAAAAUAAAUUAUCCGUUGAAUAAUUAAAUCGCCAUGUUUCUAUAAUUUAUUCCUAAUGGAUCUAGUCAAACUAAUCGUGCAAUAUUUAAUAAACCACGCAGCAUCAUUUCCGAGACUAAUAAAUGACAUUUUGAACCAGCUAAUCAAUUCCAUAUAAUUAACCAUUUGCGAGGCUGGCUGCCCUUCACUAAAUGGUUGUAUGCACUUGUCUUUGGAAAAGCUGUUUGGCCAUAUUAUGGCCAGUCAUAAUAUGGGAAAAUAUUAUAAAAGUCAUGUAUUUAAUUUUUUAUAUUUAAAAUAAAAAUAGGAUUUUAUUAGUUUUAUUUUUUAUUACAUAUUUUAGCUAUUUUUUUUUAUAAUUUUUCUGAAUUUUUUAGAAAAAUAAAAAAUAAAAUUACAAUGUGAACAAAAUUAUAAAACUAAUAAUGGUAGAGCAGCGGAGGGCACAGGUGAAGGGCAUGGCGGCGGUGUACUUAUUUUAGUCAAGUAAUUAUUAUUGCACGAAAAAAUAAUUAUUAAUAUAAAGAAAGAUAAUGUUUCAAAGACAUUAUCUUUCUUCAUGUCUAUUAAUUUUUCAUCACAAUAAUAAUUACUUCGAAUUAUCCGUGUUUUCAAUCGUGCGACCUGCACCCAGCCCGACCCGACCCGUUUCACCCAUAUAGUCAGUCUCACCCAAGUUUUUGCCUAAAGAUAAGUAUUAAUUAGUUGUGUAUGGUGAUAUGAGUCUUGUUUGUAUAAAUUAGUAGGCCUUUAAUAAUGAAUUGGCCCAUCUCAGGUGGUUUAUAUAAUUUACUCGUAUGGAUCUAAAUACAACUAAUCAUGAAAUAUUUAAUAUACCACGGAGCAUCUUUCUGAUAUACUAUUUAUAUAGUAAUUUAUUCCUAAUGGAUCUAAUCUCUGACUAUUUAAUAAUUAACUCGCCAUCGUUUAAAUAAUUUACUCCUUAUGGAUACACUCAAAGUAAUCGUGCAAUAUUUAAUAUACCACGCAGCAUCAUUUCUCAUACAAUAUUUUGGACCAUCUAACCAAUUACAUAUAAUUAAACCUUUUGCCAGGGUGGCUGUCCCUUCCACUAUAUGGUUGCAUGUAUUGAAUUGAAAUUUUAUUGAGGAAAAAAUGAAAAGAAAAACUAGGAAUUCAUUGAUAGCACGAAGACGCUAAUUAAGGGCUGAGCCUCAUCAAAACCUUUCCGAUAAAAAUCCAGUGAAAAAAACCACCAGCAAAGGAAAAAGAGUACCAGUCUAUUACAAUAAAAAAAUGAAGAACAAACUCAAGACAGGAACAACGAGAAGCACGAGAGGAUGAUAAAACAUCUAACCCGAAAAAAAAGACCCAAACCAAAGGAGCCUGACAAAUCCGGAGCCAGUACCAGCGCACCAGGAAACUGAAAAAGUUCUGGAGAAGCCACUUCGACCCAAGCACGCCAACCAUCCAAAAGAAACGACUACCACACCCACACCUAGGCCAAGAAAUAUAUAAUAUUGUGAAUAGUUCCCAUGGGAUCGAAACAGACCACCAAAACAAGAAAAAACCUCUAAGAGCAGACUACUCAUUGCCUGCCUGCCUAGUAUUCGAUGAAAUACCCAAACCAGAAAUCAUAGCAUAAAGCAAAAACCGCCACAGCUGGGGAGCGAAGAGCAGAAGGCCACCAAUAAGAUACAUUAGGAUUGCGCAAAGUCUGACAAAGAAAUCAGAAAACUUACCAGACCACUCUAGUUAAUGUAAUCUAUACAUGUCCGCACAUGAAAUUUGGUCAAGUUAGAUACACUAAUCUCAAAUCUAUUUAAUUAACAAAUUGAUUGAUUGAUAUUUUUUUCUGAGAGAAAUUGAUUGAAUAAUUUUUAGACUUCAAAAACUAAUAGUUAAUUGAUUGUUUAGAUAAGAUUAUUAUUACACUUUUAUAUAGAGAUAAUUAGUACUUGAGAUAUGUGCAAUUUACGCAUUCUUCUCUCGAGACAAAAUAAAUAUUAUUGACCAUUGAGAACUCUGCUACCACUACUCCAGUUCUAUUUAUUAUCAGUGUGCCCUCUCGCGCGCUGCACGGGUCACAACAUAUUUGAUUAUUUAAUUUUAGCUGUUUACGCAUACUUCGCUCGAGACAAAAAUAAAAUAAGAUUUAUUGAUCAUUGAGAACUCAGUACCACACCAUACUCGUGUAUACUAUAAUAUUUAUCAUUGUUUAUGAUUAUUACGUGUCUUCGCCGAUAAAUUUAAUAUUCAUUCCUUUAAUUUUUUUCUAUUGACAUUGGAAACUGUCUUGAUUCUUUUUUGGCCAUAUCAUAUAUUUAAAAAAUUGGGAGGGGAACGUGGAAGUUGAAUCUGAAAUAAGAAUCAAAUGAUACAUGUGUACUUUCAAAGAUAAAACGCAAAAUAUAUCAUUUUUUUGUAAAACAUAUAAAUUCUACUAUUUAUGAUUAUUUUAAAUUUAUAUAAUCUAUAUUUGUAUGUAUAUAUAUUCUCCAUUUGUUCAUGAAAAAGAGUCUCAUUGUAUGCUGAAUACGAGUUUUAAUAAAAUGGUUGUAAGUGUGAAAUAAAUGUAUAAUUUGUAAGAGUCUUUACAUUAGAUUAUAUUUUACUCUCUUCGUCCUAUUGAUAAUGACUCACUUUUCUUUUUCGUCUGUCUCAUUGAUAAUUGCAUGUUCCAAAAAAACUGAAACCAUUUGACCUCACAAAAUGUUGUGGGCUCCACUACUUUUUAUCACUUUUAUCCUUUAAUUACUAUUCUUAUUAAUAACCGUGUCGAACAGUAAUGAACUAUUAUCAAUGGGAGGGAGGGAGUAAUAUUUUAAUUUUGUUUGCUGCCACCACCACCACCACCACCACAAUUUAAAAAAAAAAAUCUACGUGAAUAUAGUAAUUAUUAGAACAAAAAAAUAACUAUAAUAAUAAUAUAUUAAUCCGUUAAUUAUCUAUACUAAUAUAAAAAGUGCAUUUGGCACAAAAUAUAUAUUGCCUGUUAUAUCCCUAUUAUAGUAUUUUAUUUGAAGGACAACUUUGUAAAUUAUAUAUUAUAUAUUUAUAAGAAUAUAUUAUUUCAUUAGAUAUUACACUAAAUAUAUUUGAUAUAUAUCUAGAUCUUAUGCUAUAAUUUUUUUUAUAUUAAUUAAUUAUUAUAUAUUGUGAUUUAAUAGAAUUAUACAACUCUAAUAAUUUAUAAAUGUAAAGUUCAGGGAUUGCAUGCAAUGCACACAUUCUAUGCUAGAAAAAAAAUAGAAUUCACUAAGCCGAUGAUAAAUAACACAUACAACGUACUAUUUCUGCUAGUAAAUUAAAAAUCUAUAUGAUUUUAUCUUCUAUCACUACAUUAAUUAAAAUCUAUCUUCCGUUUCAUAUUAACGGUGGUUUUUCAAUAUUUUUUAUAUUAAUUACUACAUAUUGUGAAUUUAUUACAAUUGUUAACCUCUAACAAUUCAUUAAUAUAAAGUUGAUGGAUUGUGUGUCAUGCACAAACUCUCCUGUACUCAUCUAAAAGACUCUAUAUGUGAGAAGAAACCGCAGGAGAGUAAAAUGGUACAUAACAUAGAAUAGAAAGACUUUCACAAAAUAAAUGUUACAUUCUUCCCGUAGUCGGAAGGAGCAUGAAAAUGCGCGGUUAUUCGCAAGAAAGAAAGGCUCACUCAGCCACACAAAACAUGGAAAUCCUAAACACGGUGAUGCAGAGAUCAAGCGGUAACACGCGGGAUGAUCUUAAUACCACCGAUGGUAACAUCGUCGCCAUUAAUGUGGGGAACGAUAGUGACGACAAUGAAAUCAUCAUCAGCAAUAUUAAUGUUCUCAUAGAGUUCCUUCAGGUUCAAGUGAAGGUCGUUGGAGCUUUCCGUGGCCCUAACCCUGUGCGGAAUCUGCGUGAAGCACCCGGCGUACUCGGCCCUAUCGAGCUUCUGUGGCGUGUCGUCUGCAUCAUUCACGAACACAUCGAACCUCACGAGCUUCAAGCUAUCGCAGAUUAUGUCCUCCAGCACCAGCACUUCGUCGGCUUUGCCUUUGGUUGGUUUGGGCACCACAACCCUAUGAGGCUUAUUGAGAGUGAGAGGGAACACAUUGUCUCCGGUCUCCGCCGUCUUGGCGAGAUCUUCGGUAUUGACCGGUUCCGGCCGCUGAGGUGGCCGGCAGGUCAUCCAUGGUGUAUGGCUAUAUUCAUACUCGUAUCCCAUUUUUGUGUGGUCCAAGCAGUCGGCGACCUUAACGCGCACCAGCUUCCUCUUCUCGUUGUAGAACAUGAAGGAGGCGUUGUUGAAGUCGUCGGGGUUGGGGACGACGAGCUCGUUGAUAUCCUUCGGGAAAACGGAUGGGAUCGUUUUCCAUAUAGUCCACAUUCUGUCGACGUUAGCGUGAUGUGCGUAGAAGAGAGGGUCUCUUCCGGCGGAGUAGAAGUUCCCCAUGUCUUCGCGGAAAUUGUUGGCGGGGUUUCCGGUCCAGACAGCCGCCCUCCGACAAUCCUCCCUUGGAGCGUGGCGGGGGCAAGUCUCCGUCAACGUAAGGCUCGCCCAUGAAGUUGGUAGCGGAUUCGACAUCACCAACCAUUUCCUUGUACAGCUGAUUGAGGUUGUUGGAGAUGAUCUGUACGGGAUCGGUGAUCGGGGGGUUGGUUAGGGCAAGAGAAACGAUGGCCGGGGGCCGAUGCGUCGGGUCGCGGUUGACGUCGUAGAGUGGCGACGCGUCCCUGUCGAACAUCGAGGGCAUCUGCAUGCCCCUAGGGUUGUCCCAGUUCCAGUAGGGCAGGGCGAAAUCGAGAUCUCCGAUGAAUUCGCCCAUGAUUCUCUCGAAGAAAUAGAGGUACCACCUGUGUAGGGAUGAAUCCAGAAUUUGUCGUUAGGGGGGCUAAAUCUAAAAGUAUUUGCAGUGGGGGCUCCCGUCCGCAAGACAAUUUUUUUUAACCAUUCCGUAUAGAUUUAAUUGGCUUAACAUUAGAAAUCAGUCACUUACUAUAAAAAAUAGUUGUUCGCAUUCCAUUAAUUCAACAACAAGUACAUUUAAAGCAUAUACAAACCUACCUCUGUGCAAUUUUUUAAAAUAUUAUUUCGACUUCUAAAAGAAUAAACUAAUUUUCAUUGUUAAUUAAUAGUUCAAAAUUUUAGUUUAUCUUGAAGAUUAACUCAAAUUAAAUAUUCAAUAUUACCUAAUUAAACAAAAAUGAGACAAAAAUAACACAAAUUUUUAACAAACUAACCUAGCAAAUCACUGUAAAAUGUUAAGCAAUUCUUUCUUGUAUUUCUUCUAUAUAUUAAAAACAAAAAAAUUAGGGAGGGGGCUUCAGCCCCCGUGGAUCCGCCACUAACCUGUGGAAGGGGAAGAAGAUCCAUGAGUUGUGAACCUGGAUAUCGAUGCCGGGGUGGUCCACCUGGUCGUAGGGGCCGUUGCAGUAAGCGCAGUGGACGUUGGCCUGCUGAGUGAAGCCGCGGGGAUCGUUGGGGUCCGUCACGUCCAGAUCCUUCAUCAUCUGGAUGGCUUUCUCGUACUUGGCUAUGUAUUCCGGUGUCAGCCUGUGCGCCGCCGGCCUCCUGCGAAGCUUUGUGAACGUCGGAAGCGUGUACUCUUCCUCGUCGUCCGUGUAGGGCGGGCAGCAGUUGGCGUCUAGAGAUAUUAUCUCCCCGUUUCUAGAAGUAUAGGCACCUUUGGGAUCACACUUGCUCAGGUCAGGAGGUGAAAUCGGAACCGCCUCAGCUUUGCGGAUGAGGCCGCUUGCGCCGUAUAGACCACCCAGACCAAGCAGCAUGUUUCUGCGGUCUACACGGCCGCCGCCGCCUCCAUCACUGCUGCACGACACCUCAAAGCGGCGCCUCCGCCUGCUGGCGAGCUGGGAGGUGGUGCGGAGGUUGGGGUUGGUCGUGGUCGCCAUCACCAUGAAUGAAGAUUGAAGGGAAGCCAUGCUUGAUUGAUUGAUGCUUGCAUUGCGCUCGAGGCAUGCAUGUCUAUAUAUAGUAGGCGUGGACACGAGUUUUAAGAAAAAUAAUGAUACUUAAUGGGAUUAUUUUCGAAAAUGAAUUAGGAAGAUGUUUUGGAGACGAAAAUAGAAAAUUGACCUUUUGCCAGGCUGCCCUUUCACUAAAUGGUUGUAUGCACUUAUCUUUUUUUUAUCUAUAAAGAGGUAUUUUCUCCAUUUAAAAAACUUAUCGAGGUAAUUAUGAAGACUAUUCAUUUUUAUCGUUGUAAAGUUAAUUAAAUUAUAAAAAUUAAAGUUGAUAAAGUUCUUAUUAAACAUCAUCGCUCUUCUGUCUUUGGACGACAAAAUUAAUUAUUUCAAAUAGAUAAAGAACUUGAUUUUCCGAUAUGGCUUCUCAUACUAAUUAAAUAAUCUAAUCCUAUAAUGUAUUUCAUAUAAAGUUAUCAAAUUAACAAUAUUCUGUGUGAAUUUUUUUGCCUUGAGUGUGUGUAUAGAGGUAGUCAGGGCCGGCCCUGAGGGUGGGCGGGCAUGGGCGACGGCCCAGGGCCCCAAAAAUUUGAGGGCCCAAAAUUUUUAAUAUAUCCUAUUAAUUAUAGAUCUUAUGUAUACUAACAACAUAGUUCAUCUAUUGAUUUUGGGCCCAACAUAAUUUAUUCUCAAAUUUAGAUCUAUACUUAAUAUAGAGAGUUUUCAAUUUGAAAUCAAUUUCAAAGUAAUUUCAAAAUUGAGUGACUAUUUUGUAGUUAUAAUAUUAAUAAAAUUGAAGGUUUAUGUUUAAACUAUAUAUUUUUAUUUUUAUUUUUAUUUUCAUUUUCAUUUUCUUUAACUUCUUAUUUGUUGUUACAUUUCUUUCCAAAAUUGUGAAAUUCAAUUAAUUAUAAAAUAUUUAAUAUGCAUAUCAAAUUAAAGAUCACAAUAAGAGUUUUAAUAUGAUAUAUUUUAUGAAAAAUAUUUGAUUUAAAAUGUAAAAUUUAUGCAUGUUCAAAUAUUAAAGUUUUAUAAAUUUCUCUCACCUCUCUCAUCUUUACGAAUAAAUAUAUUUUUAAUUCUUUUAAAUUAGUAUUUUAUUUUUAAUUUUUUUAACUUAUUUUUUUGUUUUUGUAUUUCAUAAUAUCAAAUUUUAUAAUUGUGAAUUCUUUUUUUAUUUUUUUUAAUAUUCAAUUCAAAUAUAUAUAAUUAAAAUUAAUUUUUUAUUAUAUUUAUAAGUAUAAUAAUUAAAUUAGUAUUAAUUUUAUAUAAAUAGUAAAAACAAAAAAUAUUUCCCGUGCAUGAGAUGCAAAUGGUAGUUGCACCUCGCCGCCGGUAAUAUAUUUAAGUAUAUAAAUUAAUUAAUAUUAACAAGGCGCCCGGUGAUCACCGGAGGCAUCCUUGCCGCUGGUAUUUCUGCCGCUACUUUGAAAAAUACGGCCGUCGGUAAAUCUGGCCGCAAAUUGUGUACGUUUUUUGGUAGUGGUAAUAUAUUAGGGCCCAAUUUUUUAAUUUCGCCCAGGGCCUCAGUUUUGUCAGGACCGGCCCUGGAGGUAGUUAUAGAAUUUAUCUUUUGUGUUCUCAAAGGAACUUAAUUAAGAUCCAAUGUGAUUGAUACAUUUCGACUAAAUGGAUGGGCAAGAUUCUUUUAACGCCCAAUAUUAAUUCCAUCUCAAAUCGGAUCUUAUAUAAUACUGUAUUUUAUAUAUUCUAUAAUGCAUUUUAUAUAUUACGUGUCUAUUAAAUUAACAUUGAUCUUAGGAGUGAUACAAGUUUAAAAAAAAGCUAGCUGUAUAUUUGGUGAGUAGAGAAGGGAUUUCAGAAAUUAGAAAAAAUGGUGAUAGGUAGUGGAAUUAUUUUAAAAAAUGGACUAAAAAGAUGUUUCAUGAACGAACGAAAAUGGCAAAAUAGGAAGAUGAGUCGUGGUCGGAGGAAAUAUUAUAAUGCAUCGUAUCCUUUUUUGGUUCGUAUAAAGAUUUUUAUUUGAUCCUCAUCGAGAACAUGCAUAUUGCGAAUACUUAAUUUAUUUCAAUAUAUAUAUAUUAAUUUAUUGGGAGCAUAUGCUAAAUAAAUUAAAUUAAUCCGAAUCAAAAGCGCUUAAUUAUCACUACAUUACAUGCAUUAUGACAAAAAGCCUGCGGCUAAAGAUCUUCAGUUUAAGUCUAUUGUCAUAUUGUUUUUAAAAUAUUAUUUAUCCAUUCCGCAUAUGGAUUGGUCAGAUUUAGAUACACAAAUCUCAAAUGUAUUUAAUUAACAAAUUGAUUGAUAAAUUUUAGAAUUCAAAAAUUAAAUCAAUCAAAUACGCGUGUCCACAGUCAAUGGAUUGAAAAUAUGCAGGUAUCUAGAUAAGAUAUAUUAUUAUUAUUAUUACACUGUUAACUAUACUGCAGUACACUUUUAUAUAUACAGACAUAAUUAAAAUAUGCAGGUAUCUAGAUAAUAAGAUUAUUAUUACACUAUUAACUAUACUGCAGUACACUUUUAUAUAGAGAUAAUUACUAGAGAUAUGUGCUAUUACCCAUACUUCGCUCGAGACAGAAAUAAAUACGAUUGACCAUUCAAUUAAACACUACGACACCAUACUCGUGCAUGUACUAACGAUCUUAUUAUAAGUGCACCUUCCCGUGCGAUGCACAGGUCAGUAGAAUUGUAAUCGAUAUUGAUGUGAAUAUCAUCAUAUUCGAUUCGUAUUUGUGAAAAUACUCUAAUAUUUGAUUCAGCAUUCGAUUCGAUCACGAAUACUAAAUACGAUCCCAUAUUCGAUUCGAUGUUAUUUUUGAAUUAUUUGAUACAUUUUUUAAAAUUAAUUAAAUAAUUUUUUUACGAAUAUUCGAUUCGUUUUCCAUCAUAUUCAAUUCAAAACUAUUCGAUUUGAAAUUCUGAAGGAAAAAAUAUGUUAAAUAAUAUUCUAAAAAAUAUAGGAUUAUAUCCAAUAUAUUUACCUAAUAAUUAAACACACAAUAAUAAAGUGUUCAAUUCAUAUUGUUUUAUGUCCCGUGGUUUGUUUCUAGGAUUGUGGUAAUAAAGACUGAUUGGAUCAGUCUAGUACAGUUGUUGUUUGAAUUUGUAAUUUUGUGUAACGGCAUUGUCAUCUUGUUGAGAUUAAUAGGAGUUAAUUUGUUUAAUUAAUUAUUCAUGAGUUUCUUAUAAGAUACCUUCCUUCGUUCCGUAAAAAUAGUCAUAAUUUUUCAUUUUAGAACGUCCAUAAAAAAAUAGUGUUAUUCCAUUUAUAAACAAUUUAGAUCCUUACCUUUGGGAUGAGAUAAAAUGAAAUUCCAUUUUAAAUCAUAAACUAGCUAUAUAGGAAGCAUUUUCAGCUCUUGAAUUCAUCUGUUGUUCGAAUUUCAUAGGAAGCAAGUUUUUUUGACUCAUUAUUUUCACAGCGAAUUCAUCAUGUUACACAUACCCUAAAGUGAUAUAUUUACCCUAUUUGAUAACAUGAUAAGUAUAUUUGAAGCGCUCACUAUUUUAUUUGAACUUUAUUAUCGAGUUUAAACGAGUUUUGAAAUAUUGAAUUAAAUUGAAAUAUCCAUGUUGAUCGUUUAAGAAGCAAAUUUUUGGCAUGGGUUUAUAAAAAAUACAUCCUAGCCUCCAUCCCUAAUAAGUGCGGUGUGAAGGAGUGGGCAAUAGUUCUUUAAAAAUAAUUGAGAGAUGUGUAUAAAGUGGAUAAAAUGGCUUACUAGAGCUGAUUUGUUAGGCCUUACUUUCUCUCUGCCCCACUAAAAUAAGCUCAAUUCUUUUGAGAACAUAGAUUAAUAAACUUUCUUUUGAGAAGAAAAUUAAAGUGGUGGCAAAAGUAAUGUGGUCCAUACCAAUUAAGCAAUUUGAGUACAUUUUUUUUUUCACUCAAAAGGAAAACGAGCCUAUUCUAGCGGGACAUUCCAAAAUAGAAAACGAGCAUAUUCUGCUGGGACGAGGGAAUAAUAAAUUGUUUGUGAGAUGAGUAGUUUGUAAAUAUUGUGUGUGAAAGGUGUAUGUCUUAAAUUGAAAAGACCAUACCUGUAUUGUGAUUGUACGGAAAGGUGGAACUGAGCAUCGCGGCGGCGGCGAGGCAGGAGGCGGCGGUGGUGAGGAGAAUCGAGAGAGAGAGAGAAAGAUGCCAGCAGACAGUGACGGAGGGCAGUGGGCGGCCCUUGGCGGCAGCGGAGACGACAAGGUACUGGCUGUGCCAGAAUUAUUUAGUUGCAUAGGAUCCUUCCAAAUGUAAUUACUGAUUCACUGUUGGAUUAACAAGAAUUAAAUUACUUCAUAAUACAGUAUUCCAACUGUUCGAUAAAAGCCCUUAAUGAAAUCUUCCAUAGAUUACUUUGCAAAGUUCAUAAAAUUACUCAAAAGCAUUGUUGCAUAGUCCGUACAUAGAGAUGGUCGAUUAUCUUAAUUAUGUCUAGAUUUAUUUACGACACACACACACACACAUCACAAAAUCACACAUACUGACUAAUAAGGUUCCCGAAAGCCGGCAUUAUUAGGCGCCAUGGUGGCCGUGAAAUACCAUGAGACGAUAUCAUGGGUGGUGGGUCCGUCUAGUCUGGUGGCGGCGGAGAGCCCUACCUGAACCUGCUAAGGAAGAAAGCCGCUCAAAUCAUACUCAUAGCUGACUUCAAACGUCUUCGAGCCGGCGGUGGCACGGACGGCGAUCUACUUUGUGGAGGCGGCGUAGUUGAUCCUCGCCGUCACCUGCUGCUCGAGUAUGGAGCCGUCGACCUCCGUCGUGUUUCGGGAUGACCUAGACCCGAUGUCGAUGCCGAUGUGGGGAUAGUUCGGAUCCCACGCGCUGUUGACGUAGGUGUCGAACUCGACGGCAAAUACCGAGGGGUUGCUGCCGGAGGAGCCGAAGAUUCCGAGGUUGGCCCCGCUGGAGCCGGUGGGGAUGGUGGAGCGGCGAGAUUGGUGAUGCUGGGUGUGGUGAUGAAGUUUACGGUGGUUUCAAAGUCGACUUGGCCACCGGCUUGGGAGAAUUGGACCGGGUUCGUGUACAAGACCCGGCCGACACUACCGAUCUGCGGUCGCCUUGGUAGGUGAGGUCGGUCGGCUGGUUGUCCCAGAAGUUAUAGGCGAAGGCCGUUGAUCGGGACUUCGCCCUGUUGGUGGCGACGGCGAGAAGAAGGGCGAUGGAGAUUAGGGUUUGGAGAAGGUUGGCCAUGGCUUAGUUGUGCAGUGAAUGAUGUCUACUACUUGCUCCUAUUUAUAAUGAUCGAAAAUAUCUACUACUUACCUACCACAGAUCCACAUCAGGGGCCCUGGAUGGGGUGGUCGACUACAUAAGCCCAAAAAAAUAAGGGCUCGGAAAAUAUAUAGAUCCAUGUAAGUAUUAUAUAUAUGUAUAAAAUAAUUAAAAGCCAACUAAUGAUUGAAUUGAUUAACUUGGCGCAGUGGAAAAAGGACAUUUUUAAUUCCUCUUAAUUACCAAUAUUUUAUUUAGUGACCAAUUUUUUUGUUUAGAUAUAGGGCCCAGCCCCUAUUUUGAUAAAUUAAGUGUAUGUAUUUCAAAUUAACAUUAUUUUAAGUUGUCGAAUUUUUUUGUUAAGAUUUAGGGUCCAGCCCCUAUUUUGUUAAAUUAACUUUAUUUUAAGUGAAUGACAUAAUUAUUAAUAUAUUUAUUAAUUAUUAUGUAAUUUGAUAAAAAAAUGUUUUAAAUAAUUUUAGUUUAUAAUUAAUUUAUUUCUCAAUUAUAAAUAAAUGGCCUAAAUUAAAAAAUUCGCAAAGGGCCUAUGUUCUCUUAGCCCUACCCUUGCACUGUUGCACAUGGUAUAUAUAUCUAUUCUAUGAAUAUAAGUGAUUAUUUUAUAAACCACGUGAAAGCACUUGUUCCCACUAGCACUAUAAAAGCAAUAAAUACAACGGAAAGAAAAUAAAUUACAAUUGAAUACAUUAGGAGAAAAAUUACUUCUAACCUAUGGAAUUACUAACAACGAUACUUAUACCAAAGCUAAAUUGGACCAACUAACUGUACACUCUUGUAUUAUAUCAACCUACCAGACCUUAGUAUUCACGAGUCUCCCACAGUCUAGACUGAUUCACAAUAUAUACCAACAUUGGAACAAGUUCAGUAAUACACUCUAUUUAUAUAUAUUAUUAUAUACACAAAAAUGCAUGGCUGCUGUGGUAUUACGGAAGGAUCGAGAAUUACUCGAUCCUUGGGAAAAGGUUCAAAUGAAACCUUUAUUAUUACUCUCCGUCCCCCAAAUAAUAUCAUAUCCGAUUUGGGAUAUUACCCCACCACUAAUAAUACUUUAUUUAUUCUAACUUCUCAAUCUUUCACCAUUCUCAAUACUAAUUAUAACACAUUUUCAUCACUUUCAAUACUAAUUAUAAUUUCUUUUCUCCACUGCUAAUACGUACACUUAACAAUUUUUCCUUAAAACCAGUGUCGUCCCCUACUAAGAAGUUAUUUGGGGGACGUAGGGAGUAUUUUUUAAUGAUAUGGCAUCCAAAUAUGUUGUGACAAUCCAGUGAGCAAUAUCAACUUUUUGGAGCUGAAAACCGAUGUGAGGUACAACUAAUACACAAUAUGUUGUGGCAAUCCAGUAAUAUACCCUAAGGAUGCGUCAUCUUUUGUUGUAAAUUUAUCAUGGAAAAAUGAGGGAUAAACAAAAUUUCACCCAUUAAAUCCUUCAUUUUUUCCCUCAUUUCUUACAAAAUAGAAUUUGACCCUUACUCAUUUCUCAUUUUCACUGCAAAGGGGGGCUAAUAUUAUCUCUCUAUUUUUGGUAUAAUGAAGAAUUUGAUACGUAAUUACAAUUAAUUAUAAUGAAGUGUGUAUUUUAGUUGCUCAUAUUCUUGGAUUAUUUAUGCUUUAAUGAAACGAUCCACUGCCUUUAACAUUUUGGCAUUUUAAAGUAAACGCCGAAAUGCAACGAUCCACUGCCUUUUAAGUAAACACCCUUGCUAACCCCUGCAUGCGUUUUUUCAUCAAACACUUGGGUUCAUUCUUUUAGGCAUUUUAUCAAACAGUUGUGCUCAGCCUCAUCCUUUUGAUCACAUUCCCAUAUCUCUCCUUAUAUGAAACCGCAUUUUCUAUUUCUCAUAUAUUUCCUAUAUAAUAUUUCCAUCAUUUCUAGCUCAACAAUAAUUCUUCUAGCAAAAUUAUCAUUUCAAAUGCACUCUUUUCCUUUUCUACUUUCUCUUCUGCAUAACAGAAAUACUAAUCCACCAUAAAAUAAUCAUAACUUUUUCUUAAUGAUACGAUGAGGGCACAAAGUUGAGAUGAUAAAAUCAUACAUAUUGGCGAAUGUUGCCGCCGGCUUCCUCUGACUUUUGGAUGCUGAGGGGAGGGGUGGCGGUGAAAUACCAGGAGUUGAUGAUGAAUUUGAUGGUUGUUUCCAUGUCCACCUGCCGCAGAGACCGAGAUACGAUUUUAGAAACAAACGGCAAAAUUACAAUUUCACAUAUAAAAAAUAAAAGACAAUUAAUAAAGCGCAUAAUAUUGGUAAGAUGCUUCCAACCAAUAGGUCGGGAUUGUAUAUCGUGUGAGUGUGUUUUUCAUUUUUUAGUAAUAACAUGUCGUGCUCGGGGCUUUUUUCCGUAUCUGCCCCUGCUUCCCGUCGUCGUGCCCGACUCGUCGGUUUUUGUCAUGCGGAGGUAGGUGGUGGCGUCGGUGAAGUUGGCGUCGCCUUCCAAGCGUAGGCCUUCCGAAUGUGGCGGCUUUUGGUAGAAGUCGUAGGUGAAGGAGACUGCAUCGCCGACCGACACGGUGGCGAGGAGGAGGGCGAUGGAGGAGAGGAGAGGAAUUAAGGUUUGGAGAAGGUUGGCCAAUUUGAUUAAAUGUAUUUGGAUGUAGUGGAUGAUGGUGUAUCGAUCUCUUGCUCCUAUUUAUAGUUGUAAAUAUAUAUUAAUAAUGGUAUCAUUCAAUCAUUAUACUUUAGGCCGGCCGGGCCGGAUCCUCUAUUCCAAAUUCUAUGUCUCAUUGUUCAUAUUCACUAUUAAUUUCACUAUUUCAAUAAUUAAAAAAAUUCAUAGAGUUUGGGGCAGAGGAUCCCGUUUGAAUCCCACAUGGAUCCUCUGUCCCAUAACUUAUUGUGUUCCUUCCCAUUAUUAAUCUCGAUAUUAUAUUUCUACUUUGGAGUUAAUUCAUUAUAAACCCAUGAAAGAUCAGACGAAAUUCAUCCAAUAAACAUUUAUAAAUUUAUAUUUAAAUUUUGUUUCGCGGGUAUCUGAUAGAUAAUAGGUAUUCGUGGGUGGCGAAUUUGGGUAGCAUUUGAUAUUCAUAGAUAGUUUCAUGAUUAAAAUCCAAUAUUCAUUUAGUUCACGGGUAUGGUAUGACAGCCACUAUCUGUGUACGUCAUACCUGAUUGCCAGUAUGACAAAUAUAAAAGUUGUGAGAUGCACAGCAGCUUAAUUAUUCAAAUAGAAAUAUCAUCACAUGUGCAUUGAUAUUUCACAAAAUAAAUACUACUACUAAUAAAUACUCCCUCCGUCCACCAAAGAUAUGCCACUUUACUUUCGGUACGAGUUUUAAUAAAAUGUGAGUGAAGUUGGUAGUGGAGUAAGGGUCCCACUUUAAAUGUGAGUGGAAUGGUAUGGACCUUACUACUAAAAAUGGAUGUGGCAUAUUUUUCGUGGACGAACGAGAAAGAAAAUUGUGGCAUAUCUUUGGUGGACGGAGGGAGUAGUACUCAUUGAUAAUGCAUGCCAACACAUGGUUCUUGCAAGUCAUAUAUAUACCUCAUCAGCAAUAUAGUAAAAUGAUGAUUUGACAACCAGAUUAAGACACCAAUUAUUCUUGUCGGGACACAGACAUAUAUGCAUAUAGAAUUAAUAUUAUUUACUAUUUCGUUUAUACACGUGAAUUAUGCUUUGGAUGCAACAUCGCCACGUCUCUUUCAUUUAUACUUCUCUAGUGUAUUGCGGACAAAAUAGUUAGUGUCUUUAAGAAAUUAAAAAUUUUCAAAUACAUAAGAAAGAAUAAUUAAUCUAAUUGGUGCGCCGGCAACUAAAACUUUUUUCAAUUCACUUUAUAUUUUAUAUACUCCCUCCGUCCACGAUUUAAUGCCCCAUUUUAGUGUGGGCACGGAGACUAAGAAAACUGAAAAAGGUGAUGUGAAUGAAAUAUAAGGGUAGUUGACUAAAGUGAUAAAGAUGCUGUGAGUGGGUUCACUAGUGAUAAAGUAUAGGAAAUAUAGAAUAUAAAAAUGAUAAAGGUGUUUUAAGUUGGGUCCAUUAGUGGCAAAGAGUAAUAAAUAUAGAAAAAGAAGAGUAAAAAAGUACAAAAAGCAUAAUAGGGCUUUAAUUUGUGGACAAAAAAUUAAGAGCAAGUAGGGCUUUAAAUUGUGGACGGAGGGAGUAUUUAACAUUACAAGUCAAUUGCUUGCAGAAUUUGAGCUUGUCUCCCGUGAUGGAGACCUCACCAUGCGGCAACCCGUGCCUGCGCCUGCCUUUUUUCUUCCCGUCUUGCUCUAUCCAGAUAUUAUACGUGAUCCAACUCUUUCCAGAUAUUAUACGUAAAUGAUAAUUUUACUAACAAAAAUUACACUUUUUAUCAAUAACAAAUGAAACUAUGCAUACAAAACAGGAGGUAAAUGAUAUUUUUCUUAAUAACAACUGAUACUUUUUCAAUGCAAAUAAUACUUCGCAAAUGAUAUUUUAAUAUAAAAGUAAAUGAUACUUUGUAUAAAAAUAAAUGUUAUAUUACAAAUGACACUUUUAAUGCAUACCAAUGACACUUUUAAUAACAAAAAUUGAGAAAAAAAAAUUAGAAUUCGGCCUUAAUUAAAAUUUGGACAACAUUUAUUUGGGCAAAGAAGAAAAACACCUGAAUUUUUUUUUUUCCUUUUUUGAGAGAGAAAAACUCAUGAAAUUUCAUGCAAAAGGUAAUGCAUAGCCAACCGGGCUCAAUCAUCUUUCGGCGGUUUUGGUUUGAUUCUUCCAACAUCUAGGGUAGCAUUCACACAAAAUCAACUCGUGUUCAAAAAUCUGAAAUUAAAAUUAACGAUGUGUCUCAGUAUAGAGAUAAGAACAUACCCCUCAAAUGGUUCGAGCCAAGGUCUAAUUCCUUCAGCAGUGUGAUAUUCCAAAUUUGAGUAGGCAUAUAUCCGCCAAAGUUGUUGUCUGACAAGCGAAUACUCUCAAGUUGUGGACAUUGGUACAAACUCGAUGGUAUAUCUCCUUCCAAAUUGUUAAAGGAUAGGUUCACUAGUUUAAGUCUUUGAAGGUUAUUGUACGUGCNUAGACAACAAGAAAUAUCUAUUGUCUAUUCUAUGACAAAAAAAUUAAAAAAUUCUAAUAUAUCUGCAUCCCUGUAUUACAAUACCAAUAUAUAUGAAAAAAUAAAAAUAAUUAAAAAUCAAAUAAUCAAACAAUACUUAUAAACCACUAAUACUCACAAUCAAAUAUUUACACAUCAGUGUAAAUAUUGGGUUCGAGUCCUCUGCGUGUGUUGAUCAAGCGGUAAGGGGUUAAUGCCUAAGGUCAAAGGUCUGGGAUUCGAGUCCCCUGUGGUGUAGCCUUUUAAUUUCGUUAUUUAAUAUUGUAAAUUUAUAAAAAAAAAAAAGUAUAUUUACACAUCAACAAUUGUAUUAUCUUUAAUACGCCUUCAUUCAUCUAAUAAAAAAAAUCUCUAAUAAAAUCUCCAACUAACUCCGGUCAUGAUCAUCUCUUGAAGGCGGAGGAAGGUGGAGUCCGUCGGGAAAUGGGUACUGCCUUGAUAGAUGAGAUCUUUCGGCUGGUCGCCCCAGAAGUCGUAGGUGAAGGACGUCGUUUGGGACAACGCCGUGUUGGAAACGGAGAGGAGGAGGACGAUGGAGGAGAGGAGAGGAGUUAAGGUUUGAAGAAGCUGGUUGGCCAUGGCUUAAUUGAUUUAGAUUUAGAGAUGUGGUGGAUGAUGGUGGUAUCGAUCUCUUGCACCUAUUUAUACUAGUAUGGUUCAUGCCUGUUAAUAAUUGUAUAUAUCAAUCAUCGUGCAUCUAUCCCAAAUUAUAUGUCUUAUUAUUCACUAAUUAGAUGGAUUAAAUCCUGAUUAGUAACCAUAAAAUUAAACUGUCAAUGAGGCCUUGCUCUAGUGGCAAAGCUGUGACACCGAAUAACUUUUCUUUGUGAAAUGUCUUGGGUUCAAUCUCGCCUGCAUGCGGUGAUGUGUGUCCAUUUUAGGUGGUGUGGUAUUCUUGUCUGCGUGCGGUGUUGUAUUGUUUAGUGUUGAGGUCCCACAUGCAGAGCGUUCUUGCCUGUGUACGUGUCACAGCCCAAAACCAUUUAUUUUCUUUACAAAUUUUAUAUAUGAAAAUUAUUUAAUUUUUAAGUUAUAGAGUUUUUGAAAUAUAUAUAGUAUCAAUUUUAUGUUAACUUAGUCGUGUCCCUAAUUAAAAGAAUGACUUUAAAAUAAAACUUAAGCCUUAAAAAUUUAAUCUACAUUCAUAUAUAACUGAAAUUACAUGCAUGUCUAAAUAUUAUUUAUAAUUAUCAAUAACAAGAUUAAUGAUUCUAUAUCUCUAUGUUUAUACAUGUAUUCACGUAUGACAUAGUAUAUAUUAGCUAUUAAGUUAAAAACUAAUAAAAUACUACACUUUUGCAUAGGAUAUAUAUUUAAUUAGUAGUAGGAUAGGACACGUGUAUUAAUUUUAAGGGCAAGUAAUCAAACUUUUGAAUGAUUCAUCAUGCUUAAAAAAAAAAGAGACCUAGAUAGAUGAUUCAUCAGAUUCAAAAACAAGUAUAAAUAGACUUCGGGUUUGAAAUUUUAAUUAAUUUGCAACAACAAUUCAAACUGACUGUAUUAAGGUAAGUAGUUACAGAUUUCAUACACAUAUUAUAUGAUUUCGCACACAUAUUAAGGUAAGUAUAUAUAAAUAUUUUUUAAAAUCAUAUAUUAUAUAAUAAUUAUAUUUAAGUUUUAUAUUAUUCUUUAUAAACUAUUGUUUCAUUCUAUAUAAUUAGGUGUGGCACGACUAGGACGUAACUUUCUAUUGAAUUUCUCAAGUUAAUCUUAGAGUUCAAGUUUCAGGUGUGAGAUUUAUUUAAAUACAUGUCGUACGUGGUUAUUUAUUGUCCAUUUUAAUAAGAUGUGUUUACCAUAUGUGUUAUGACGCAUAUUUUUAGGAUAUCACUAGGUGCCCAUAAAUAGGAUCCAGGACUUCACCGUCCUUGGAUUGCCACAAUGCGAUUUGAGGUUUAUUUUGAGGAUGUCGUUAGGGGCCCGUACAUAGGGUCCAGGACUUUAAUAGUCAUUGGGUUGCCAUAGUGCAAAUAUUGAGGAUAUAUAUGAAGUGACCGUAUGUGUUACCGUUUCAUUAACGUGGACAAUGAUUGCAUGUUUAAGAGACAAUAACCAAUUUUUCAGACAUUUGUGAACAAAAUGAAGCAUGUUUAGAGAUCCUUAAUACAGGUGUACGAAAUGAUGGAUAAAUAAGUUUGUGAAACAAAUUUCACCAUACCUAACCCCACAAUUAUUUGCGGUCGAAUUUCCUCGUCACAGGAAAAAGAGAUGAUGACAAAAGGGAAAAAAUUAAUUAACAAAGUAGAAGAUGCAUGACAACUGUAAAAGAAAAAUAAUGCUACUAAUUAAAUAGUCCAAACUUCAUACGUUUCAUAUCAUAAGUGGCAGUUCUAUUUUUUUUUUUGCGAAUGUGAACAAAAUAACGAAUAAUUUUUAAAGUAAUAGUAAUAAGGAGAUGUGUUUUGACAGAAAACGACAUGAGCGGCCUAAAAAUAAGAGGGAAAAAGAUAAUCAUAUAAAUAUUCAAAAUCAAACGGAUUGGCAUGUAUUCAUCAUUUUUUAUUUUUUAUUUUGAUAAUUUAACAGUACUCCCUCCGUCCGUCAAAAGUAGACCACUUUGGUUGGGCACGGGAUUUAAUAAAAUUAGUGAUGAUUUUGAUGUAGUAGAGAAAGAGUUCCACCACUUUAUGAGAUGUGUGGUUGAGAUUGAAUUUGUUGUGAUUUUUUUGUAAAUAAAGAGUGUUUGUAAGGAUAAAAGAUUAAAGUGGGUGGUGGGACCAUUUCCAUAAAAGGAAAGUGGUCUACUAUUUGCGGACGCCCAAUAUAGUAAAAGUAGUCUACUUUUGGCGGACGGGGAGAGUAUUAAAUAAAUAAAUUUAAAGGUUGCACCCCUUACUGCUUGGCUUUUAGAUUAUGUUAUAAUAAUAAAAUUAACAGCACGUUUACAAUAUAAAAUUAAUUAUGAUAAAUACAAUAUAUUAAUAAUAAAUACUCAAUUACCUCUUAACAUAAUUCGCGCAUCAUGGCUUUUAGCUUAUAUUAUAAAGAUAUAAUAUGUUGUCUAUAAUAAUCGACGGAAGGUAAUAGACAACAUGUUUUAUAUGUUGUCUAUAAUAAUAUAGACAGUAGAUCUAGUGUUAUAGAUAACAAUUAAUACUUGUUGUCUAUAUGAUGAUAGACACCAAAAAUCUCUGUUGUCUAUUCUAUGACAAAAAAAUUUAAAAAAAUUCUAAUAUAUUUACAUCCCUGUAUUACAAUACCAAUAUAUAUGAAAAAAUAAAAAUAAUUAAAAAUCAAAUAAUCAAACAAUACUUAUAAACCACUAAUACUCACAAUCAAAUAUUUACACAUCAACAACUGUAUUAUCUUUAAUUACGCCUUCAUUUAUCUAUUAAAAAAAAUCUCUAAUAAAAUCUCUAACUAACUCCGGUCAUCAUCUCUUGAAGGCUUAGAAAAUGUCCAAAUACAGCGGCACAUGCUCAUUAUUGUGUGAGCGAUGAGAACUUUGCGCUGAACCUAUAAAGUAACUAUACUUAACUGGUAAAGUAAUUGUAUCCCGUGAAUCUAAAGGAAGACUACACACGUUGAUAGAGUUUGAAAGAAAAGAAUAAAGAGAAUGAAAAUCCAAAGAAUUUGCUUCUUCCGUUGAACAAUCCCUACACAACAUUGAAAUAUCAAUGAAAAUAAUGGCUAUCGUAUACUCCCUCCAUCCAUGAAAGAACUUCAUAGGAGGGAGUGACACGGGUUUUAAGAAAAAAUAUUGUUAAGUGUAUUGAGAGUGGAUAAAAGGUAGUUGAGUGUAUUGGGAGUGGUGAAAAUGUGUUAUAGUUAAUAUUGAGAGUUGUGAAAAGUGAAAAGUAAGAGGAUUAUAAGUGGUGGGGUAUAGUCCAAAAAUAGGUAGGAAGUUCUUUUGUGGACGUCCCAAAAAGGAAAGAUAUGAAGUUCUUUCGUGGACGGAGGGAGUAUUAUUUUGCAGCAGCAACCACGUUUGAAAACUCGAUCCCUCUGUUCUUGAAUUUGUGAAAUUUCCGACUGAUUUAUUAGAUUCACCAUUUAUUUCAGUUUAAUUAGUCUAUAUAUAGAUAUUUCUUAUAUUAUUAAAUUGUUAACCUCAUGGUAGAUUUCAAGAUUUGAAAAUUCAACAAAGAGCUUGAGAAUUAUUGAGAUUGGAAGGGGAAGAUGAAACAUAAUUGGGUGAAAUUAGAAACCAAUUAAAGUCACAAGAUUGAACAAAAACAUAACUUAAAAACACAAAAUAAGCAAAUCGUAGAUGCAGUAUCUUGCAAGAAAAAGUUCAUAUUCCCAAGGCUAUGAUGAGCACGAAUUAGGGUGUGUCUGCAUUUUAUCCCUCUAAAUAGAGGAAUAACAAAAUUUUAUUCUUUAAAUGUUUGCUUUCUUAUCACACAUUCUACACAAACACCAUUUUUUCUUCCUUAUUUUCACUUCAAGGAGGANUAAUAUUAUCCCUCCAAUUUUGGUGUGAUAAUAUUAUCUCUUCUUGAAGUGAAAAUAAGGAAGAAAAAAUGGUAUUUGUGUAGGAUGUGGGAUAAGAAAGCAAACAUUUAAAGGUAUAAAUUUUUGUUAUUCCUCAUUUAGAGGAAUAAAAAGCAAACACACAUUAGAGUCUACUUACAAUUUAGGCGCAGGCUGUGCGAGAAUUACUUAGUCGAAUAGGAUCCUAAGUAUUUAUAUUUCUCAUGUUCUUGUGUAUUUUUUUACUGAUUCACUAUUGGAUUAACAAGAAUUAUCUUACUUUAAAUUUCUUGCUUUAAAAAAAAAAAAGAAUUAUCUUACUUCAUGUAUGGUAUGCCAACUGUUCGAUAAAGGUCCUUUUAGAAAUCUUCUAUUGAUUACCUUGCGAAGACCACAAAACUAGACACACCCAAAAGCAUUCUUGCAUAGUUUAUACAUAGAGAUGGCCGAUUGAUGAUCGUCUUAUUUGUAGACUUAACGCGAGCAGACUCGAUCGCUUAGUCCUUAUUGAUUUACGACACACAUGCUCACACACACACAUACACACAUCACAAAAUCACACAAAUUGACGGAUAAUGUUGCCGUUCAGCUCCUUCCUGAACCUCACCGCGGCAUUUUUCUGCACCAUAGUGGCCGUGAAAUACCACGAGACGAUGUCAUGGACGGCGACGUGUUGUCCGGUGGCGGCGGAUAGCCCGACCUGAACCUGCUGAGGAACAAAGUCGCUCAAAUCGUACUCAUAGUUGACAUCAAAUGUCUGCGAGCCGGCGGUGACUUUCACGGAGAUCAUCCUUGUGGCUCCGACGUAGUUGAUCCGCGCAGUCACCUGCUGCCCGAGUAUGGAGUUGUCGACCUUCGUCGUGUUGCUGGAUGCCCUAGAGCCGAAGUCGAUGCCGAUGUGGGGAUAGAGCGGAUCCCACGCGCCGUUGACGUAGGUGUCGAUUUCGACGGCGAAGACCGAGGGGCUGUUGCCGUUGGAGCCAAAGAUUCCGAGGUUGGCUCCGUUGGAGCCAGGGGGGAUGGUGGAACCGACGGGGGCAAUGAAGAAGGCGAGGCCGUCGGCAGGCUCGUUGUCGGCGCCCGGGGUGAUGAUGAAGUUCACAGUGGUUUCGAAGUCGACCUGCCCACCGGACUGCGAGAAUUGGACCGGGUUCGAGUGCAAGACGCGGCCGACUUGUGAGGGCUGUGCGUCUGUGAGGCGGAGGAAGGUGGAGUCCGUCGGGAAAUGGGCGCUGCCUUGAUAGAUGAGAUCUUUCGGCUGGUCGCCCCAGAAGUCGUAGGUGAAGGACGUCGUUUGGGACAACGCCGUGUUGGAAACGGCGAGGAGGAGGGCGAUGGAGGCGAGGAGAGGAGUUAAGGUUUGAACAAGCUGGUUGGCCAUGGCUUAAUUGAUUUAGAUUUAGAUUUAGAGAUGUGGUGGAUGAUGGUGGCCAGGUAUCGAUCUCUUGCACCUAUUUAUACUAGUAUGGUUCAUGCCUGUUAAUAAUUGUAUAUAUCAAUCAAUCAUCGUGCAUCUAUCCCAAAUUAUAUGUCUUAUUAUUCACUAAUUAGAUGGAAUAAAUCCUAAUUAGCAAUCUUAAAAUUACACCGCCAAUGAGGCCUUGCUCUAGUGGUAAAGCUGUGGCACCGAAUAACUUUUCUUUGUGAAAGGUCUUGGGUUCAAUCUCGCCUGCAUGCGGUGAUGUUUGUCCAUUUUAGAUGGUGUGGUAUUCUUGCCUGCGUGCGGUGUUGUAUUAUUUAGUCUUAGGCGUUCUUGCCUGUGUGCAUAUCACUGUGUGACAAUUAAAAGAAUGACUUUAAAAUAAAAGUUAAGCCUUAAAAAUUUAAUCUACAUUCAUAUAUAACUGAAAUUACAUGCAUGUCUAAUUUUUUUAAUAUCAUAACAAGAUAAGAUUUAUUAAAUAAUUCAGAUGCAUAAAUAAAAAGUUAAUCUAUAAACACAGUAUAGAUAUAUUAUCAAUGAUAGGCCGUGUAUAAGUCUUAAUCUGUAAAACUAUAUCAUCCCAGCCUUAAACGACUACCAUUCCUGCUUUCCCAGAGCAACCACACUGUUCCCACCCACAAAGCUUUAAGCAGUACAUGCAUGUCUAAAUAUUAUUUAUAAUUAUCAAUAACAAGAUUAAUGAUUCUAUAUCUCUAUGUUUAUACAUAUAUUCACGUAUGACAUAGUAUAUAUUAGCUAUUAAGUUAAAAACUAAUAAAAUACUACAGUUUUGCAUAGGAUAUAUAUUUAAUUAGUAGUAGGAUAGGACACGUGUAUUAAUUUUAAGGGCAAGUAAUCAAACUUUUGAAUGAUUCAUCAUGCUUAAAAAAAAAAAGAGACCUAGAUAGAUGAUUCAUCAGAUUCAAAAACAAGUAUAAAUAGACUUCGAGUUUGAAAUUUUAAUUAAUUUGCAACAACAAUUCAAACUGACUGUAUUAAGGUAAGUAGUUACAGAUUUCAUACACAUUAUAUGAUUUCGCGCACAUACGUAUGUAUAUAUAAAUAUUUUUUAAAAUCAUAUACUCCCUCCGUCCCCAAAAUAAGUUCCUCUUUGGGGACGGCACGGAUUUUAAGGAAAAGUGGUAAAGUGUAUUAAUAGUGGAGAAAAAUAUGUUAUAAUUAGUAUUGGAAGUUGUGAAAAGGUGAAAAAGUGUUAUAAUUAGUAUUGGGAGUGGUGAAAAAGUGAAAAGUAAGAAUAAAUAAAGUAUUAUUAGUGGUGGGGUAGUUGUCCAAAAAUGGAAAAAAAGAAAGAGGAACUUAUUUGGGGGACAUCCCAAAAUGGAAAAAGAGGAACUUAUUUCAGGGACGGAGGGAGUAUUAUAUAAUAAUUAUAUUUAAGUUUUAUAUUAUUCUUUAUAAACUAUUGUUCCAUUCUAUAUAAUUAGGUGUGGCACGACUAGGACGUAACUUUCGAUUGAAUUUCUCAAGUUAAUUUUCAAGUUCAAGUUUCAGGUGUGAGAUUUAUUUAAAUACAUGUCAUGAUUAUUCAUUGUCCAUUUUAAUAGUAUGUGUUUACCAUAUGUGUUAUGACGCAUAUUUUGAGGACAUCGCUAGGAGCCCAUAAAUAGGGUCCAGGACUUCACCGUCCUUGGAUUGCCACAAUGCGAUUUGAGGUUUAUUUUGAGGAUGUCGUCAGGGGCCCGUAAAUAGGGUCCAGGACUUUAAUAGUCAUUGGGUUGCCACAGUGCGAAUAUUGAAGAUAUAUAUGAAGUGACCGUAUGUGUUACCGUUUCAUUAACGUGGACAAUGAUUGCAUGUUUAAGAGACAAUAACCAAUUUUUCAGACAUUUGUGAACAAAAUGAAGCAUGUUUAGAGAUCCUUAAUAAAGGUGUACGAAAUGAUGGAUAAAUAAGUUUGUGAAACAAAUUUCACCAUACCUAACCCCACAAUUAUUUGCGGUCGAAUUUCCUCGUCACAGGAAAAAGAGAUGAUGACAAAAGGGCAAAAAUUAAUUAACAAAGUAGAAGAUGCAUGACAACUGUAAAAGAAAAAUAAUGCUACUAAUUAAAUAGUCCAAACUUCAUACGUUUCAUAUCAUAAGUGGCAGUUCUAUUUUUUUUUUGCGAAAGUGAACAAAAUAACGAAUAAUUUUUAAAGUAAUAGUAAUAAGGAGAUGUGUUUUGACAGAAAACGACAUGAGCGGCCUAAAAAUAAGAGGGAAAAAGAUAAUCAUAUAAAUAUGGGUUAAUUGCCUCUAAAUACACCACCUUUCCUUGAAUUCUACAAUUGCACAUCACCUUUAAAAUCCGCCCUUAAAUACACCACCUUUCCUUGAGUUCUACAAUUGCACAUCACCUUUAAAUCCGCCCCAAAAUACAUCAUCUUUAUAUUUUUUCUGUUUUUGCACAUGACUAAAAAAUUCUCAAGAAAUAAAUUAAAGUGUUAAUUUAUAAAUUUAAAUAUCUUUUUAGCAGCGAAAACAUAAUAAAAUAAAAUUCUUUAUAAAGUUUAAAAUCAUAUAUAUAUAUAUAUAUAUAUAAGUAUUUUCGUAAAGAAAUAAAUUCUCUAAUAAAUUUUUAGAAAGAACUUGAAUUAAAAAAAUAAACAAGUCAUGACAUUAAGAAAAUAAAAUGAAAUUUUUAUUUUAAUAAAUUUCACACGAAUUCGAUAUAAUUUGGAAUUUAGAGUUACAAUAAUCAGAAGUACCACAUGAAUAAUAUAAUGAGUUUGAAAGAAAUUUUUUUUAAAGAGGUUCGACACGCCCAUUCGACUUUCCACGCGCCUCCAAUGUCAUUUACCUGAAAUAUUAANUAUAUAAGUAUUUUUCGUAAAGAAAUAAAUUCUCUAAUAAAUUUUUAGAAAGAACUUGAUUAAAAAAUAAACAAGACAUGACAUUAAGAAAAUAAAAUGAAACUUUUAUUUUAAUAAAUUUCACACGAAUUCGAUAUAAUUUGGAAUUUAGAGUUACAAUAAUAAAAAGAACCACAUAAAUAAUAUAAUCAGUUUGAAAGAAAUAUAUAUAUAUUUUUUUAAAGAGGUUCGACGCGCCCAUUCGACUCUCCACGCGCUACCAAUGUCAUUACCUGAAAUACUAAAUAUGGGAUAAGCAUACAUAAUAUACUUAGUGUGGGAACAUGCAAUUAUUGUCCACGUUAAUAAAAUAGUAACACAUACGAUCAUAACAUUCAAAACGACACAAUUUUGCCAAUAUGGAAGCCACGUCAUUUAAAGUGGUAACACCCUAAUCUAACUAAAGUGUUAAAUAUAAAUUUAAAGCGGAAAUAUAAUAAAAUAAAGUUCUUUAUAAAAAUAAAUAAAGAAUUUUAUUUUAUUAUAUUUCCGCUGCUAAAAAAGAUAUUUAAAAUUUAUAAAUUAACACUUUAAUUUAUUUCUUGAGGAUUUUUAAGUCAUGUGCAAAAACAGAAAAAAAAUAUAAAGGUGAUGUAUUUUGGGGCGGAUUUAGAAUUCAAGGAAAUGUGGUGUAUUUAGGGGCGGAUUUUAAAGGUGAUGUGCAAUUGUAGAAUUCAAGGAAAGGUGGUGUAUUUAGGGGAAAUUAACCCUAUAAAUAUUCAAAAUCAAACGGAUUGGCAUGUAUUCAUCAUUUUUUAUUUUUUAUUUUGAUAAUUUAACAGUAUUAAAUAAAGAAAUUUAUAGGCUGCGUCCCUUACUGCUUGGCUUUUAGAUUAUGUUGUAAUAAUAAAAUUAAAAGCACGUUUACAAUAUAAAAUUAAUUAUGAUAAAUACAAUAUAUUAAUAAUAAAUACUCAAUUACCUCUUAACAUAAUUCGCGCAUCAUGGCUUUUAGCUUAUAUUAUAAAGAUAUAAUAUGUUGUCUAUAAUAAUCGACGGAAGGUAAUAGACAACAUGUUUUACUUCUUGUCUAUAAUAAUAUAGACAGUAGAUCUAGUGUUAUAGAUAACAAUUAAUACGUGUUGUCUAUAUGAUGAUAGACACCAAAAAUCUCUGUUGUCUAUUCUAUGACAAAAAAAUUUAAAAAAAUUCUAAUAUAUUUACAUCCCUGUAUUACAAUACCAAUAUAUAUGAAAAAAUAAAAAUAAUUAAAAAUCAAAUAAUCAAACAAUACUUAUAAACCACUAAUACUCACAAUCAAAUAUUUACACAUCAACAAUUGUAUUAUCUUUAAUUACGCCUUCAUUUAUCUACUAAAAAAAAUCUCUAAUAAAAUCUCUAACUAACUCCGGUCAUCAUCUCUUGAAGGCUUAGAAAAUGUCCAAAUACAGCGGCACAUGCUCAUUAUUGUGUGAGCGAUGAGAACUUUGCGCUGAACCUAUAAAGUAACUAUACUUAACUGGUAAAGUAAUUGUAUCCCGUGAAUCUAAAGGAAGAAUAAACACGUUGAUAGAGUUUGAAAGAAAAGAAUAAAGAGAAUGAAAAUCCAAAGAAUUUGCUUCUUCCGUUGAACAAUCCCUACACAACGUUGAAAUAUCAAUGAAAACAAUGGCUAUCCUAUACUCCCUCCAUCCAUGAAAGAACUUCCUAGGAGGGAGUGACACGGGUUUUAAGAAAAAAUAUUGUUAAGUGUAUUGAGAGUGGAUAAAAGGUAGUUGAGUGUAUUGGGAGUGGUGAAAAUGUGUUAUAGUUAAUAUUGAGAGUUGUGAAAAGUGAAAAGUAAGAGGAUUAUAAGUGGUGGGGUAUAGUCCAAAAAUAGGUAGGAAGUUCUUUUGUGGACGUCCCAAAAAGGAAAGAUAUGAAGUUCUUUCGUGGACGGAGGGAGUAUUAUUUUGCAGCAGCAACCACGUUUAAAAACUCGAUCCCUCUAUUCUUGAAUUUGUGAAAUUUCCGACUGAUUUAUUAGAUUCACCAUUUAUUUCAGUUUAAUUAGUCUAUAUAUAGAUAUUUCUUAUAUUAUUAAAUUGUUAACCUCAUGGUAGAUUUCAAGAUUUGAAAAUUCAACAAAGAGCUUGAGAAUUAUAGAGAUUGGAAGGGGAAGAUGAAACAUAGUUGGGUGAAAUUAGAAACCAAUUAAAGUCAGGAGAUUGAAGAAAAACAUAACUUAAAAACACAAAAUAAGCAAAUCGUAGAUGCAGUAUCUUGCAAGAAAAAGUUCAUAUUCCCAAGGCUAUGAUGAGCACGAAUUAGGGUGUGUCUGCAUUUUAUCCCUCUAAAUGGAGGAAUAAUAAAAUUUUAUGCCUUUAAAUGUUUGCUUUCUUAUCACACAUUCUAAACAAACACCAUUUUUUCUUCCUUAUUUUCACUUCAAUGAGGGAUAAUAUUAUCCCUCCAAUUUUGGUGUGAUAAUAUUAUCCCUCCUACAAGUGAAAAUAAGGAAGAAAAAAUGGUACUCCCUUCGUCCCAAACGAAAUGUCCUGUUUUCCUUUUUGGGCUGUCCCAAACGAAAUGUCCUGUUUCCUUUUUUGGCAAUACACUCUCUCUCUAUACUUAAUAUUUAAAUAAUUUUCACCAACCCACUUUAUCUACUUUAUACACAUUUCUUAAUCUCCGUGCCGAAAAGAAAUGGGACAUUUCGUUUGGGACGGAGGGAGUAUUUGUGUAGGAUGUGGGAUAAGAAAACAAACAUUUAAAGACAUAAAUUUUUGUUAUUCCUCCAUUUAGAGGGAUAAAAAGCAAACACACCUUAGAGUCUAAUUACAAUUUAGGCGCAGGCUGUGUGAGAAUUACUUAGUCGAAUAGGAUCCUUAGUAUUUAUAUUUCUCAUGUUCUUGUGUAUUUUUUCACUGAUUCACUAUUGGAUUAACAAGAAUUAUCUUACUUUAAAAAAAAAAAAGAAAUGAUCUUACUUCAUGUAUGGUAUGCCAACUGUUCGAUAAAGGUCCUUUUAGAAAUAUUCCAUAGAUUACCUUGCAAAGACCACAAAACUAGACACACCCUGCAUAGUUUAUACAUAGGGAUGGCCGAUUGAUGAUCGUCUUAUUUGUAGACUUAACGAGAGCAGACUCGAUCGCUUAGUCCUUACUGAUUUACGACACACAUGCACACAUACACAGAUACACACAUCACAAAAUCACGCAAAUUGACGGAUAAUGUUGCCGGCCAGCUCCUUCCUGCUCCACGCCACGGCAUUUUUCUGCACCAUGGUGGCCGUGAAAUACCACGAGACGAUGUCAUGGGUGGCGACGUGUUGUCCGGUGGCGGCGGAUAGCCCGACCUGAACCUCCUGAGCAACAAAGUAGCUCAAAUCGUACUCAUAGCUGACAUCAAACGUCUGAUUGCCGGCGGUGACUUUGACGGAGAUCAUCCUUGUGGCUCCGACGUAGUUGAUCCGCGCAGUUACCUGCUGCUUGAGUAUGGAGCUGUCGACCGGCGUCGUCUUGCUGGAUACCCUAGAGCCGAAGUCGAUGCCGAUGUGGGGAUAGAGCGGAUCCCACGCGCCGUUGACGUAGGUGUCGAUUUCAACGGCGAAGACCCCGGGGCUGUUGCCGUUGGAGCCAAAGAUUCCGAGAUUGGCUCCGUCGGAGCCAGGGGGGAUGGUGGAGUCGACGGGGGCAAUGAAGAAGGCGAGGCCGUCGGCAGGCUCGUUGUCGGCGCCGGGGGUGAUGAUGAAGUUCACGGUGGUUUCGAAGUCGACCUGCCCAUUGGACAUCCAGAAUUGGACCGGUUCCGAGUACAUGACGCGGCCGACUUGGGACGGUUGUGCGUCUGUGAGGCGGAGGAAGGUGGAGUCCGUCGGGAAAUGGGCGUUGCCUUGAUAGAUGAGAUCUUUCGGCUGGUCGCCCCAGAAGUCGAAGGUGAACGACGUCGUUUGGGACAACGCCGUGUUGGAAACGGCGAGGAGGAGGGCGAUGGAGGCGAGGAGAGGAGUUAAGUUGGCCAUGGCUUAAUAGAUUUAGAUUUAGAGAUGUGGUGGAUGAUGGUGGUAUCGAUCUGUUGCACCUAUUUAUACUAGUAUGGUUCAUGCCUGAUAAUAAUUGUAUCAAUCAAUCAUCGUGCAUCUAUCCCAAAUUAUAUGUC